GGAGAGAUGGCUGAGUGGCUGAAAGCGUUGGUUUGCUAAAUCAAAAUACAAUUUUUUGUAUCAUGGGUUCGAAUCCCUUUCUCUCCA
rfam:Klebsormidium nitens mitochondrial DNA, scaffold: kfl01814, whole genome shotgun sequence.